GGACUGGAAGUCAAAGAGGAUUCUGGGAAAUGUAGUAGAGAAGUGAUGAUCCAGGCAGGAAGUGACAUGUCAAGGAGACUCAUAUCUAAGCAAUGAAACAGGAAGUAUGCCCCUUUUUCUCCUUCCUCCUCCAGCGGCAGGAUGUGAUCCACCAGCAAGGAGGGACGCCAAUAAGGUGUCCGGAUCUUCCACUGGGUAUCAGAUGUAUGCUAACGAAGCUGGAAGACCAUGAUAACACAAACCUUCUACAGCCCAUUUGCUGCGAGACUCCUUCAGAUCAGUGCUGUUCUAGGCAAGAUGUGUGCACUAUACAUGACAGAGGCUCCAUGUCAGGUUACAAACAGCAUUCUGGAAGCCAAGCAACCUUACAGGAAUAUAAGGAAGUGGGUGCCAGGAGCCAGAAGAAGGAGUCAGGUCCCCUGGUCUGGGAUCCCCAAUGGUUGUAAGCUAUCAUGGGUGCUGGGAACUGAAGUCCAGUCUUUGAAUGGUCUACGAGUCAAGAUGCUCAAUGAAGAGACAGGAGGCCACAGGGAGGAUCAUGUGAAGAGCAACCUGUUGUUAUUGAGCACCGUGAGAGGAAGAUCCAGGAGGUCAGUGCAAGAGUCAAUGAGCACUCUACAGAGCACUGCAGCUAUCAGUGAGAACUGUGUGAGGAGCCUGGACAUCACUGAUGCAACAUUCAGAGAACACUGCCGCCUGUCGAGCACCCCUGCAGUCAGUGAGCACCCUCUGUGGAGCACAAUUCUCUCAAUCCUGCUGACAGGAAGGUAUUACAAUUUUGCUGGCAUCAGUGACCUGGCAUCUUGGAAUUAUCCCCUGCUUCAGUUUACAGAGGAAUAAACCGCUGCCCGAUCUCUGUGCCAGAAUGUUAUAGAGAAGGCGUUUUGUUUAUUUGAACUAAGCCAGUGACCUUUGCCAGCAUUCGAAUCAUGAGCUGCAAAUUACAUGGAGUACCUUCCCUGCAUCAUGAAGAAAUGGUAUCGAGUUCCAGGGCCGUAUGGGACGAAACUGCAUUUGCUCUCAGCUCCUCAACAUUUAAUGAGAGAUCCUGAACAACAGAUAAAGUUGACAUGAUAUGACAAAGAUCCAUGGUGGCAGGGAGGCUUUUUUGUCAUAAUGGUGAUGUGCAAACUUCAGAAGAUUUAGCCUUCAAGUUUGGACACACUGCCAAGAAUGCGGAUUCCUUUUUUAAGUGGCCAGAUGUCUCAUGUCUGUAGAACUGUGCUUUCUGAGACAUUUUCUUUAUUUGUUGGUUUAGAUCAGAACAAGAAAGUACAUUGCCUUCUUGAAUCUAAUUCAAGUCACUUCCCGGGUCUGAGAAGCAUACCAUACCUUCAGACACCUAUUUUUAUCAUUUAAUAUAUUAUGUUGGAUUUUUACUGACUGUGUCAAAGCUAGAUUUAUUUUAGAACAUAUAUAUUUCAUCUUAAGCAAAGUCAAAAUGUUAAAAGUCACUGUAUGAAAACCAGGGAAUGCGAUGGAAAACUAGCAGAUUAUCAGAAAGUAGUUUUUAAAAAAACCCACAAACACCAAAGGGAAAUCAGACAGGUCUUUGAUAACUUUGCUUCAUUGAGCGCCCUGGGACUGUCUUGGUCAUCUCUACACAGCAACAAGGCUACCUUCAUGCACAGAUUAUGGUUGUGACUAUCAAGGAGAGAAAAUUACUGAAGUACAAGUUUUUUACUUCUUAAAAGAAAUUUUAUAUCCUGUUAUUGCAAGUGAUACAACACCAAGGAGUUAGGUUCUCACAUAUUACCAUGAAUCCUUUUACUCACUCACCUCAGUUCUGAAGAGAGUUGACCAGUUCUCCAUUAAGCUCAGGCUGAACUCUCUCAUGGAUUCACUGGAACUUCAUGUGUGUUAAGAGCAGAAAUAGUUGACAGCUUUGCUCACUGUAGUAUCCAUAAAGAGUAGGAAAACAAAUUAGUGCUGUUUGCUCCUUAUGCAUACACUGAGUCCAUGGCAUGGGGCUUCAAACAUUACUAUUAACAGUUCUCAAUUUGAACAUUACAAGCUGAUUUUAGUGACCUCAAUCACAGAUUUGAUGGCUGUUGAUAUUUAAGAGGAAGCAUUCCCACAAUGCUGAGAGCAUUCCUCAUGGACAUGGCAUCAUUCCACUGAGAAUGGUCCUGUACUUUUUUCAAGUUGGUAGUCUGAGUUAGAACAAAUCUCUCUGCCUUUCUGGUUGACACCAUGAGGUAAUAGUCCUUCAUACAUUGGAAUUUGUUCCUGCACCCAUAAUGAGCUCCAUUCAAACAUUUUAAACACAUGAUUUCCAUAAUCCUAAAUCCUGCUCUUCAUUGUUGUUAUCCAGCAUCGAGCAUAGAAAUUAUGUAAACCUUAAUGAACCUGUGAACAUUCUCUUCCAUGCACUUCCAGAAAGCAAAAUGACAAUGUCUACAGCGUACCGUAAACAUCAUCUGCUCCCCCAGGACCAGCACUGUGAUUAAACUGCUGAGACUGAAGGCUGGAAGGGGAGUGAGAGAUCCUGGGACAGGAUGAUGUGCAGGGCGUAAGUCUAACUUUAAGUUAACUUUUGUUGUUACUUUUCAGCCAGUGAUGGUAUUAAAAAGUUGUAGACUCCAAGGAAAAUGUAAUUCCAAAACUUAUGAAGUUCUCCUUGGGUAAUUGGUAGAGGAUCCAAGUAAAGAAAUAGUAGAGUUCUUCAGAGGCCUGGGUGAUCUGCUGCCUUGUGUAAUAGUUAUAGCAAAAGAGAGAGAAAAGCAAAUGACUAACUGUCUUGUUCAGAAGGAUACUAUGUAAGCAAUAGACAGCACAUUCUGGAAGGAGUUCAGGAGAUAUGUUUGGAGUACUUACAUAGUACCUCACUUAGCCGUCGCUUUACUUCUCUCUCUAAACAAUGCUCCAUAGUGAAGUUCCCUUCUCUUUAUCUUUAUAUGGAUGAGUCAGCCGCUCUCCUCACGAAAGAUUAAAUGAGAUAAUGCAUAUAAAAGUGUUACCUAAGCCAUAAUGUGUCCUGCUAAUGUUACACACUGUCAGGGCCCAUUAAUUUACUUAGAAACCAAAACAAACAAACUCUAGUUCUUAGAGGUGUGCAGAUACUGAAUAAGCAUUGUAGGCACCUGGGCUCCCUCACUGAAUGAAUGACAUCCUCCUUGAGAAAGGAGAAAUGAAACAAAGAGGUGGUGAUGUCAGUUCUUACAAUAUUUUAAUUCCAUCUCUAUGCUCAUGAACAGCAAAUAUGUUAGGGACUUCUUACCUUUCUAGGACCUAGAAUUCAAGAUUCCAGCACAGUAGAAUUAAAUUCCAUAACUUCAAAGAAAGCCAAGUUGCUCCCUUGGUCCCUAUGCUGGACAUGCUGGAAAGAUAAUAUGAGGAUACUAGAGAAAGAAAUCAUCUCUGAAGCUGGAGGAUGAAUGAAGACUUCAGCUAAGUCUGCUUACUGAAUCUAGAAACAGCCAUGGAAGAGCACACCAUUUGGGUUCUCAGAAACCAAGCAUAUAGGGAGACUAGGAUGGGAAGAUAUGAUAGGCCCAGAUGAAGAUAAGCUUCUGUGAACAAGAGACAAAGACUCCAGAUUGGAUAAAUCAAGCAGCUGGUAAGCAAGGCCCAUUCUUCCGACUUUAAAAAAUGAGAAGCCUUUUGCAAACACAAGGAAGGGAAUGCAGUCUCCCACUACAGAUUUCAGCACGAGAAUAUCAUGAGACUGUUGCAUUCAUAAGUUCAGAAUAGCUCUGCUCGUUCUGAAAGAAUAUGGGGAGCCCCCUAAUAAAGCC
ensembl:lncRNA